CUUUGCAUCUCACCUUGUUUCAGAGGGAUGGAGAAGAAUGUACAAAGAUAAGGGGGUGUGGAGGACAAGACUCUUACUAGCUGGCUAGAUUUGAUCUGCCUUUGAAGUCCAAAGAGCAGGCUGUAAUCCUUAGAAAGUUUUUCUUCAUCAGUUAAAUGUGGUAUUAUGCAUUGUGGACAUCAGCUUUCUCAUGAGAAAAGGAGGAACCACGACAGAUGUGAAAUCAGGGAAGGACACCUGAAAUUAAACCACUGGCAACUGAAAAGAAAUCCUUUGAAGGAGAGCAGUCAAGACCUGCAGUUGUACGGAAGCUCGGUCAUUUCACAUCCUGAACGGCUAAAGCGGAGGACAGCAUAGCUCAGUAUUUAUGUGGGAAUCUCCCAAAGCAAGAGUGUACUUAAGCAGGAAAAGGGCCUAAUGAUGACUGAUGUCAGGCUUCUCACUAAGCUGAAGUGGUAAGAAUUAUGCUGCUAAGACUUCGGUUUUAUUUUAAUUCAGCUAAAGU
rnacentral:lncRNA from 1 species